rnacentral:rRNA from 1 species
UACGUAGGGGGCAAGCGUUUGUCCGGAUUUAUUGGGCGUAAAGAGCGCGUAGGCGGUCCGGUAAGUCCGCUCUGAAAGCCCGGGGGCUCAACCCCGGGAGGCGGGCGGAUACUGUCGGGCUAGAGUCCGGAAGAGGCGAGUGGAAUUCCUGGUGUAGCGGUGAAAUGCGCAGAUAUCAGGAGGAACACCGGUGGCGAAGGCGGGUCUCUGGGCAGUAACUGACGCUGAGGAGCGAAAAGCGUGGGGAGCGAACAGG